rnacentral:rRNA from 1 species
UAGAGUUUGAUCCUGGCUCAGAUUGAACGCUGGCGGCAGGCCUAACACAUGCAAGUCGAGCGGUAGCAGGAAGUGCUUGCACUUCGCUGACGAGCGGCGGACGGGUGCGUAACACGUAGGAAUCUGCCCGGUAGUGGGGGAUAGCCCGGAGAAAUUCGGAUUAAUACCGCAUACGCCCUAUGGGGGAAAGCAGGGGCCCCGUUCUUUUUUAAAGAGUGGACCUUGCGCUAUCGGAUGACCCUGCGUCGGAUUACCUUGUUGGUGGGGUAAAGGCCCACCAAGGCAACGAUCCGUACCUGGUCUGAAAGGAUGAUCAGCCACACUGGGACUGAAACACGGCCCAAACUCCUACGGGAGGCAGCAGUGGGGAAUAUUGCACAACGGGCGAAAGCCUGAUGCAGCCAUGCCGCGUGUGUGAAGAAGGCCCUAGGGUUGUAAAGCACUUUCAGUGGGGAGGAAAGGUUGAAGGUUAAUACCCUUUAGCUGUGACGUUACCCACAGAAGAAGCACCGGCUAACUCCGUGCCAGCAGCCGCGGUAAUACGGAGGGUGCGAGCGUUAAUCGGAAUUACUGGGCGUAAAGCGUGCGUAGGCGGCUUUUUAAGUUGGAUGUGAAAGCCCCGGGCUCAACCUGGGAACUGCAUCCAAAACUGGAAGGCUCGAGUGCGAGAGAGGAGUGUGGAAUUUCCUGUGUAGCGGUGAAAUGCGUAGAUAUAG